UCUGCAUCACUGUCCUGGAAGCACCGCCAAGCACCACAUCCUCCGACAUGAAGCUGAUCGUCGUCGCCUGCUUGGUCGCCAUGGCCUUGGCUGCUCCCAGACCCCAACACGACGCCUCCAUCGCGAAAGAGGAACGUGUCGACCAUGGCGACGGAAACUUCAACUACAACUUCGAACUGAGCGACGGCACCGCCAUAGAAGCAGAGGGAACCCCCAACGACGCGGGCUCCGUCAACAUCGAGGGAUCUUACAGAUUCACUCUUCCUGACGGUGCAGUAGUCGAAAUCACCUACGUGGCCGACGAAGCCGGUUUCAGGCCCCAAGGGGACGUCCUCCCCCCACCCCCCACCCACUCCCUGCCCACGCC